ACUGUCAGCUUUGGUUAAACUUACACAUGCAAGUCUCCGCCCCCCUGUGAGAAUGCCCACAGUUUUCUGCCCGAAAACAAGGAGCUGGUAUCAGGCACACUCCCGACAGCCCAUGACACCUUGCUUAGCCACACCCUCAAGGGAACUCAGCAGUGAUAAAUAUUAAGCCAUAAGUGAAAACUUGACUUAGUUAAAGCCAAGAGAGCCGGUAAAACUCGUGCCAGCUACCGCGGUUAUACGAGAGGCUCAAGUUGAUAGAUAUCGGCGUAAAGCGUGGUUAGGAAGUUUUUAAACUAAAGCCGAACGCUCUCAGAACUGUCAUACGUUCCCGAGAGUAAGAAGCCCCACUACGAAAGUGGCUUUAUACCCCCGACCCCACGAAAGCUGCGAAACAAACUGGGAUUAGAUACCCCACUAUGCCCAGCCCUAAACCUUGAUAGUCCCCUACACCCACUAUCCGCCCGGGUACUACGAGCAGUAGCUUAAAACCCAAAGGACUUGGCGGUGCUUUACACCCAC
rnacentral:rRNA from 1 species